GUGAGACUUCGUCUGCUUCCUGGGCCUCAACUACAAGUACAUGGUGCCAUUUCUGCUCAAUCAAGGUGGAUCUCUCCUCUUCUACCUCACCUUGGCAUCAGCAGAUAUGUCCCUGGCAGUACCGCUCUGUAACUCCCUGGCUUUGAUAGUCACGCUGGUGACUGGGAAGAUUCUGGGAGAAGACAUUGGUGGUAAAAGGGUUGCAGCAGGAAUGCUGCUCACAGUCCUUGGAGUCAUGCUCUGUGUCGCUGGUUCGUGAACAAGACACAGUGAGCAGCAGAGGAAAAGAACCUGUUCAAAGGUAACCCCCCCAUGGCUGGAGGUGGAGCUUCUGGCUCAGCAGCAGACCCUUUGGCUCAGUUGCACCCAGGAAGCUGUAUUUUGACACAUGGGUGUCAAAAAGCUUGGACUGUAUUCCCUGAGCACCAGGGUGGAACAAGGCCUGUUGCAAGGACAUCCUAUUUAAUGUCUUGAGUUAAGGAAUUUUUUAUCUGUGGGUGUUUCAAGGAAAGGACGGUCGUCUUGUUCAGUGCUGAAGGGAUAAUAAAUGAUUAAUAAAUCAUUCAGCGUGA